rnacentral:rRNA from 1 species
GGCGGCAGGCCUAACACAUGCAAGUCGAGCGGUAGCACAAGAGAGCUUGCUCUCUGGGUGACGAGCGGCGGACGGGUGAGUAAUGUCUGGGAAACUGCCUGAUGGCGGGGGAUAACUAGUGGAAACGGUAGCUAAUACCGCAUAACGUCGCAAGACCAAAGUGGGGGACCUUCGGGCCUCACGCCAUCAGAUGUGCCCAGGUGGGAUUAGCUGGUAGGUGGGGUAACGGCUCACCUAGGCGACGAUCCCUAGCUGGUCUGAGAGGAUGACCAGCCACACUGGAACUGAGACACGGUCCAGACUCCUACGGGAGGCAGCAGUGGGGAAUAUUGCACAAUGGGCGCAAGCCUGAUGCAGCCAUGCCGCGUGUGUGAAGAAGGCCUUCGGGUUGUAAA